rnacentral:tRNA from 1 species
GGAGGCAUACGUUAACUGGUAAACGGCGCGGCUGCUAACCGCGUGGCUCGUUUGGGCCUUGGGGGUUCGAGACCCUCUGCCUCCGCCA